AACCUCUAAACCCAAAGAACAUCCUGAGGAAACAGAGUGUGCUAAUGUCACAGAGGCCGGCCAAGUGUACAAGGAGAUCAGAGAGGGCGGUGGACAGAG